GCGCUAUCUCCAGGUGCCACCAGGCUCCUCUCCGGGGAGCGUGGGCGGGGGAGUCCCAGGGCGGCCCGUUUCCUUCCCCCGGGAACACCCAGGGGCCCCCGGCCCCGCCCGUCACAAGGAGGCUGAGCGAAAUGCUGUCAAUAUGGUUGCCAGAGGUGAUGGUUUGAGUCCACUUUACAUUCAGUUUAAAGAGAAGAGAGAGAGAGAAAAAGAGAGUGUGGGACUAAAGAAGGUCUUCUAUUUUUGCAUCCAAGAUGGUGGAAUAAAAAUUUAAAUGAAAAUAACGUUUCUUGCACUGUGACCAAUGUUUAUCCUAAUGCAGCACUAGGAUUAAACACACAGCUGAGCGUAGCAUUGUAUCCAGAGAUCACAGAACGGCUUACUAAGGGUUCAGAGUAAAAGCCUUCCACCUCCACAUCUAUCAACGACUGCCUUAAUUCUUUUUCUUCUCUCUUUCUGAAGUACAGAACAUAGAAACAGCGAGAGCAGCAGCACUGCCCAUCAAAAUUUGGAAAUGUGUCAUAUUGGAUUGGAAGUUUUAAAAACUGCAAUCUGCUAUACCAAUAAAAAUGUCAGCCUGUCAUUUCUAUAUUGAAUA